rnacentral:rRNA from 1 species
CGUAGGAUGCAAGCGUUGUCCGGAUUUAUUGGGCGUAAAGAGUUCGUAGGCGGUUUGUUAAGUCUGAUGUAAAAGACUGGGGCUCAACCUCGGGACUGCAUUGGAUACUGGCAGACUGGAGUACGGUAGAGGCAAGUGGAAUUCCCAGUGUAGCGGUGAAAUGCGUAGAUAUUGGGAAGAACACCGGUGGCGCAAGCGACUUGCUGGGCCGUAACUGACGCUGAGGAACGAAAGCUAGGGUAGCGAAUGGGAUUAGAUACCCCAGUAGUCCUAGCCGUAAACGAUGGAUACUAGGCGUAGUGGGUAUCGACCCCCGCUGUGCCGCAGCUAACGCGAUAAGUAUCCCGCCUGAGUAGUACGGCCGCAAGGUUG